rnacentral:rRNA from 1 species
GAUGAACGCUGGCGGCGUGCUUAACACAUGCAAGUCGAACGGAGAAACGGUAGCUUGCUAUCUUUUUUUAGUGGCGGACGGGUGAGUAACGCGUGGGUAACCUGCCCUUUGCAGGGGGAUAACAGUGAGAAAUCGCUGCUAAUACCGCAUACCAACUUCUUUCGCAUGAAGGAAGUUUGAAAGAUUUAUCGGCAAAGGAUGGACCCGCGUUGGAUUAGCUAGUUGGUGAGAUAACAGCCCACCAAGGCAACGAUCCAUAGCCGGCCUGAGAGGGUGAACGGCCACACUGGGACUGAGACACGGCCCAGACUCCUACGGGAGGCAGCAGUGGGGAAUAUUGCACAAUGGGCGAAAGCCUGAUGCAGCGACGCCGCGUGAAGGAUGAAGGUCUUCGGAUUGUAAACUUCUAUCAGCAGGGAAGAAAGGGCCUAUGGCCUAUGACGGUACCUGACUAAGAAGCCCCGGCUAACUACGUGCCAGCAGCCGCGGUAAAAGUCACG